AGUUAACCUGGGGACACUGAGUGAAGGCUGUAAUUGCAAAGAUGUUUUCACAUGGGUGAAUUGGAAGCCCUAUCGAUGAAAAGCAAACGACGGAAUAGAGCCCUGGAUUGCUUGGCUGAAUGGAAGGGAAAAUGAAAAGCUGAAGACUAUAGGAUGUCAACUGUGGAUACAACUCACAAGCUACCAUAUUGAUGUGACAUGAUGAAGUGGGAAGGAAAGCCAUCUGGAGUUUCGCUGGUGAAUUGAUACAUCUUGCAUUUAACAUUGUGUAUCCCCUGGACUUUGAUCAAAUGGACAUGGGCUUUCUGAUCUACUGCAGAGUGCCUGGAAAUUCAGAGACACAACAAAGAGGAAGACUCCUUGAUUAGUGAUCAUCAUCAUCAUCAUCAUCAUCAUCAUGGAAUCAAAGGAGAUCAUUUUGGAGCUUUAAGAUUUGACUGCUCUGGCCAGGCUCCUAGGAGGAAGGAACUUGCAUUAUCUCAGGUGAGACUUUGGACUUGGACUUUUGGAUUAAUGCUGAAGUGAUAUAAGACUUUGGGGGACGGUUGGGAAGGCCUGAUUGUGUUUUGAAAUGUGAGAACAUGAGAUUUAAGAGGGUCCAGGAGUGGAACGAUAUGGUUUGGCUGUGACCCCACCCAAAUCUCACCUUGAAUUGUAAUCCUGAUAAUCCCACGUGUUGAGGAGGGACCUGGUAAAUGAUGGCAUCAUGGAGGCGUUUUCCCCCAGGCUGUUCCCAUGAUAGUGAAUGAGUUCUCAGGAGAUCUGAUGGUUUUAUAAAUGGCAGUUUCCCCUAAGCUUUUCUGUCUCUUCUGCUGCCUUGUGAAGAGGUCCUUGCUUCUUCUUCACCUUCCAUCAUGAUUGUAAGUUUCCUGAGGCCUCCCCAGCCAUGUGGAACUGUGAGUCAAUUAAACCUCUUUCCUUUAU